GGGGCUUUCAGCUUGUAUACAUCAUACUUAGAUUGUAUUGGACGUUAUGUCUGAGGUUAAGGACACUUAAUUUUAAAACAUCACAUGACAAAUAUUCUCACAUGUUUUCUCACCUGUAAAAUACAAUAAUUUGUCAAUGAAAGAAAAAUAUAAACUUUUUUCUUGUAUGAGGCUGAGAAACUGGCCUUCAACAUUAAUUGACCUAAUAUUGUUUUAUAAACAUAUCAAUCUAUUAGUUCAGUCAGCUAUUUUCAU
rnacentral:lncRNA from 1 species